rnacentral:rRNA from 1 species
UACGAAGGGGGCGAGCGUUGUUCGGAUUUACUGGGCGUAAAGGGCGCGCAGGCGGCAGACCAAGUCAGGCGUGAAAGCCCCGGGCUCAACCCGGGAACUGCGUCCGAUACUGGCAGGCUUGAAUCCGGGAGAGGGAUGUGGAAUUCCAGGUGUAGCGGUGAAAUGCGUAGAUAUCUGGAGGAACACCGGUGGCGAAGGCGGCAUCCUGGACCGGCAUUGACGCUGAGGCACGAAAGCGUGGGGAGCAAACAGG